rnacentral:misc_RNA from 1 species
ACCCAUGGCAUGUGUCCUUCUCAUAUGCAAGGGCUCUCCAGAACACUUGCCUUAAGACCUGGGCUGGCAGACCUGAGAAUGUGAAGGCUGCUCAGGAGGUACUUCCAACUCUCUUGCUCAGCUUGGCAAGUACACAGGUGAGGGAGAAUCAGAAGAAGCCAAGAAAGGAAUGUUUGUCAAGGGCUACGUGUACUAAGCUAUAGAAUGAAGGUGGAGGAGAAGAGAAAUCAAAUCCAAGAUUAAAUUUCUCAUGAUUGUGUGUUAAAUGCUUUAUAGCCUGGAUACUAUUUUUGUUCUUUUUUACA